rnacentral:rRNA from 1 species
UACGUAGGGGCCUAGCGUUGUCCGGAAUUAUUGGGCGUAAAGAGCUCGUAGGCGGUUCGGCAAGUCGGAUGUGAAAUCUCCACGCUUAACGUGGAGGGGCCAUUCGAAACUGCUGUGACUCGAGUCCGGUAGGGGAGUGUGGAAUUCCCGGUGUAGCGGUGAAAUGCGCAGAUAUCGGGAGGAACACCAGUAGCGAAGGCGGCACUCUGGGCCGGUACUGGACGCUGAGGAGCGGAAAGCGA